rnacentral:lncRNA from 1 species
AGGACUGACUGCAAUAAUCCCUUGCCACUCUCCUCCCUGGCUGUUUCCUGCCCUCCCUUAUCUGGCAAGACUGUCCAAUCCUGCUCUCUGAAUCAGAUUUGAUGACUCAACACUGACCAAUUAGGCGUUAACACAUCUAUCUCUUGGGCUAUCUAGCCAUCUUUAUGGAGAACAGGAUCUUAAAUCUCUGCUCAUCGGGACAGCCAGAGGCUUUGCCUAAAUGGUGGAAAGAGCUGUAGACAUUUUUCAUAAUUAUAAUGACUUUUUACAGGGAGAGCCAUAACUCCUGCUCCGUAACUCCAGGGUGAGAGAAGAGCCCAUUGCAGAUUCUGUGAUGCGGAGAAUGGAGCCAUCUGAUGGCUGUCUUCUCCAGGCAGUCUGUGCUUUCCUAAUAUGAACGACUUCUGGGAGCAAAAUUCACAAAGCGGGAUAAGACAGUUUCUAUUCUAGGAGCCCUUCCACUGAGAUGAGACAGGCUGUAGUCUCCAGAGGCAUACAGUGAGUGACAAAAGGUCAAGAAAUCAGUAAGUAGUACAUACCUGGCUAAGCUCUAAAUAUCUGUGUGUGGGAAGGGCAUUUUAGUUAUGGAAGGUUUCCUGGAGGAGGCAAAUAAGGAGCUGAAAAGGAGAAAGUCAUUCUUAGAUAGAGGAAAUGACUUUUUUUUUUUUUUUUCCUUUUUAGAGACAGGGUCUCACUCUGCCACUCAGGCUGAAAUGCAGUGACGUGAUCAUAGCUUACUGCAGCCUCGAGCUCCUGGGCUCAAGCAAUGGAAAUGGCCUUUGGGUAGAGUUGUCUUUCAGGAGGUGUAGCCUGAUUGUGGCCCAGGGAGUUUGGCUGUUCUGUGUGGUACGCCUCCACUAUGUGGUCUCCAGUGAGCUGCUCAGCAGGUGUAGACCUGGGCAGGGCAAAGUUCUCUGGGCUGUUGACUGUGAGGCCCCUCCCCACCGGUAGAUUUCCAGGCCUCUUCAGUUUUGCAUUCAGCCACAGCAGAAUGAAGUGGGGUGAGGAGGAUUGAACCGGCACCUCAUUUAUUCAUUCAAUGAAGGUUUAUUGAGCCUCUACGAUGUACCAGGUGCUGUGCUAUGUUCUGGGAUGGUAAAGAACAAGAUCCUUGCCUACAAGGUACUCACUGAAUUAGCAGAAGAAAUCAACAUAUCAACAGGUAAUUAUAAUAUAGUGUUU